rnacentral:rRNA from 1 species
AUUGAACGCUGGCGGCAGGCCUAACACAUGCAAGUCGAACGGUAACAGGAAGAAGCUUGCUUCUUUGCUGACGAGUGGCGGGCGGGUGAGUAAUGUCUGUGAAACUGCCUGAUGGAGGGGGAUAACUACUGGAAACGGUAGCUAAUACCGCAUAACGUCGCAAGACCAAAGAGGGGGACCUUCGGGCCUCUUGCCAUCGGAUGUGCCCAGAUGGGAUUAGCUAGUAGGUGGGGUAACGGCUCACCUAGGCGACGAUCCCUAGCUGGUCUGAGAGGAUGACCAGCCACACUGGAACUGAGACACGGUCCAGACUCCUACGGGAGGCAGCAGUGGGGAAUAUUGCACAAUGGGCGCAAGCCUGAUGCAGCCAUGCCGCGUGUAUGAAGAAGGCCUUCGGGUUGUAAAGUACUUUCAGCGGGGAGGAAGGGAGUAAAGUUAAUACCUUUGCUCAUUGACGUUACCCGAAGAAGAAGCACCGGCUAACUCCGUG